rnacentral:lncRNA from 1 species
AGGAUGCCAGGGAUGAUGGGAAGCCUGUUCUUGUUUAUCGGUUUGUACGGAACUUCACCCGCGGUAGAGUACGGCCUGAGAAUUUUGUUCCAGCACCGGUGUGAGGAAAACAUCUGAGCCCAUGAAUUGCCAGACCCUGGAUACCUGAGACACAUCCACUUGCUUCUCAGGUUUGGAGUGCAUAAUGAGGAGAAAUAAAAACAGAAAGAUCUCCAGAAAGAAGCCAUGGGUGGAGAACAGAGGGCGACUAGAUUAAAUGGAAAGAAUGCCCAGGCAUCCCAUUGCCUCCCUUUGACGUUCCAGAACUUCAUCAAGACAGUGAUGAGCUACAUGUACACCUGGAGGAGAUUGGUUGAUGUAGAAACAGCACUCUUCUUGGAAGAACAGGCAAAGACCACCUUCUUUAGCUGUCAGGACAUCCAGCCCCCGUCGGUUCUAAAGCACCAUGGCUGCCAAUGAAUCGAUCUGCUUCUGGAUAAUAAGCACAGUUUUAGUCAUUUCUUGAAGAUUGCUUUUAAACUGGGAAGUGAAUGUAUUAUAUUGGGUCAUAGAAGUUGUUACCCCUGCAGUUCCAAUACCAGCACCUAUGGCUAUUCCCGUAGCGACCAAGAGUGGCAUGACCUGAACUGCCCUCUCAUGUUGAACAGCUAUCAAUAUCUACAACUGGGAUUGGCAGGGGCUCAUUCCCUUGGAUUACUCCCAAUGCAGGGAAAAGGAGUACCAACGUGCAAACUUCUGACCAGCUGGCCGGUAGGCGAUGAUAGGCCUGAGUGCUACAAAGAAUUGACAUGUUCCAGACUGCAGAGCAUUGUGGCAGAGAUGAUAUAUCAAGGGUUAUGGUCCUAUUUCAGUCUAGGGAGCUUAGUGUUCCUAUAAAACGAGUCCUGGAGGUCUUACAACAGUUUGUCACUCCAAAGAGAGGGAUAGAGGUAAGGUAUGGAGUCAUGGCAACAUCAGAGUCAGGGCAGCUAACAGAGGUAAGGUUACUUGGCAGUAUCACUGGAGAGGCUGUGACAAUUGUGAGUUAAUUCCAGAGGGUACGCGCAACCAGCCAUCUUUAAAGCAACCAGGUCUGGUGACAUUAAGGAGUUGGUAGGCCGAGGUCAAGGUCUGAAGCAAAAAGCGAAAUGGCAAGUUAGUGCCAUAUAUGAGGGUUGAUGUCAAAGAGGUAAGGACUCAGAGGAGUGUUUGGUUGUCUCUCCUGCUUUUUCUGUAUCCUGGGGUUGGGCGAUUGAGACUUAUUUUCUCUGGAUAUGGAUGGUACUUAUUGGGGACCUGGGCUGAUUUUUACGGUAGAGUUUACCAACAGCUCCUGUUUCCCACCUGGAAUCCCAUGAGUCUUGUUUGUAGAAAAAGAGUGUCUGAGGUGUUGUUAGAAGAAAUGAUUCGUCUGUGAUCCUAGCAUAUAUAUCUGAAAAGACCAAUAUGGGCAGCCCCCAUAUUCAUCUGGCCAUUUUCUACAAUUAUCUUUUGUCUGGUCAAAGAGAAAGCAAGUAUAGAGAUCAUAAUAUUUAGAUGGGAUAGCAGAUACAGGGAUGAUAGCAAUUUGGAUCGGUUCCUGGCAUCUGGCUAUGGAGAAGUUUCCUGACCCUAUUUGGAAAGAAUUUUUGUUAUCUGUGGGGAUUUCUUGAACCUCGAAUCACCAGAUGUAAGGGCUACAGCAGGGGAAAGACUAGAAACCCAUGUCUAAUUCAGUGAGGUUGAACUGGAGUGGAGUCUCAUUUUCUGGGAUUGGGGACAAGGUGGGUGAUCUCAACGCCUUCCGGAACUUAACAGAGCAUGGUCCUGUUAGGGUCGAUGUGUAUGAAGAAGGGUCAUCUUUAGGUGGAGGAUGAGACAGUUGGUGAGACAGAUGGACCCAAUGAGAGAGUCCCUUGAGUUUAGCAGCUGUAGGGGGCACGAGGAUUACCUUAAAAGGGCCCUGCCAUUUGGGAGAGAGGGGUGAGGGCCAAUAAUCUGGAGGGCAUAGAAGGACCUGGUCUCCAAUGUUAACAGGCAGUGGACAGGAGACAGUGUGUGGCCAUGGUAGAUGCUGGUCAACAAAGUUCCAUAAGCGAGAACAGAGGUGGCAAAGUAAUGGGGUAAGUAGAUGGUCUGGGGGCAGAAAGCACUUAGGUGGAAGACCAGGAGUUAAGACUGGACGACCAUACAUGAGUUCAAAGGGCGAGGUGAGGAGAGGUCGCUUGGGGAGAGCUCGUAGCCUGAAAAGAGCCAAAGGGAUGAGUUUUACCCAAUCAAGGUGAAGUUCUUGUGACAGCUUAACAAGAGUGGUUUUAAAGAGCAGUUAGUUCUUUCUACCUUACCUGAAGAUUGAGGGUGGUAGGGAAUAUGAAAAUGCCAGGGGAUGUCGAGGGCCUUAGAUAGGAUUUGAGAAACUUGGGAAGUAAAUUUGGAACCAUUGUCUGAUGGGAGAGAGGCUGGGACACCAAACCGGGGGAUGAUCUUUUGGAGGAGAUCAGAGACUGACUGAGCCCUUUUGUUAGUUGUGGGAAAUGCCUCUACACACCCCGAAAAGGUGUCCACCAAGACCAGGAGGUACUUGGUGCAUCUGACAGUGGGCAUGUGGGUAAAGUCAAGUUGUAAGAUUGAGUAAUAUAGUGACACACUUUAAUAAAGGCAGAAGAGUUAGAGGUAUA